AACCUGGUUGAUGCCUGCCAGUAGUCAUAUGCGUUGUCUCAAAGAUUAAGCCAUGCAUGUGCUCAGUAUAAGCUUCUAUAUGGCGAAACUGCGAAUGGCUCAUUAAAACAGUUAUAGUUUAUUUGGUGGUCAACUUCUACAUGGAUAACCGUGGUAAUUCUAGAGCUAAUACAUGCGCCCAAACCCAACUUCUUGGAAGGGUUGUGUUUAUUAGAUACAGAACCAACCCAGGCUCCGCCUGGCCUUGAGGUGAUUCAUAAUAACCGAACGAAUCGCAUGGCUCCGCCGGCGAUAGACCAUUCAAGUUUCUGACCUAUCAGCUAUCGUCGGUAGGGUAUUGGCCUACCGUGGCAAUGACGGGUAACGGAGAAUUAGGGUUCGAUUCCGGAGAGGGAGCCUGAGAAACGGCUACCACAUCUAAGGAAGGCAGCAGGCGCGCAAAUUACCCAAUCCUGACGCAGGGAGGUAGUGACAAGAAAUAACAGUACAGGGCAUAUCUGUCUUGUAAUUGGAAUGAGUAAACUUUAAAUCACUUUGCGAGUAUCAAUUGGAGGGCAAGUCUGGUGCCAGCAGCCGCGGUAAUUCCAGCUCCAAUAGC
rnacentral:rRNA from 1 species